UGCGGGGUCCUCUUCUUCUUCAGCGCUCACCUUCCCUUUAUUCUUCUCUUACUUCCUCUCUUCCUAGGUAGCUGGCCCCUCUUCCAAUUCCUCUUUCUUUCUUUCUUCCUCGGCCACUUGUGGCCCCUCAACCCCCUCUUUCUCGGGUAUCUUCUCUUCUUCUUUCUCUUCUUUCCCUUCCUCAAGCUUUAGUCCCUUAGGCUCAAUCGCCAAGAUAUUGAUAACAUCAGCAAAGAUUUCUAGACUGGGGUACAUCUUUCCAUUGUGCUCAAAAGGCUCUAUUAGAAGACAUGGAGAGGAAUGCUCACUCGAACAGACGAAUCGUCUAUCCAUGUCUAACCAGCCGUAUGUUCUCUUCAGUGUGC
rnacentral:lncRNA from 1 species